ACUCCUACGGGAGGCAGCAGUGGGGAAUAUUGGGCAAUGGGCGAAAGCCUGACCCAGCAACGCCGCGUGAGGGAAGAAGGGUUUCGGCUCGUAAACCUCUGUCCUAUGGGACGAAGGAAGUGACGUACCAUAG
rnacentral:rRNA from 1 species